AAACCUUAAUUUAAAACAGACUAAUCACAUUUUAAAAACAAAAACCCAAGGGAGAUAAAUCAUCCGCGCCGCUCUGUAAACAAUCCGUUCAUAGCCUCAAACACUCGUCUGGCUCGGAUUGCGACGGAGUAAACGAUGUUUAGGUAGCAGGUAAACUCCUAGCCCUUUACCUUCUCGUUUUUAUUUUAUUCUUCGCACAAAUAAUAAGUAAAAGAGAAAAGAAAAUCCGGAAAAGAGAGAAAAAUCUGAGAUCACCUUCAAUAUUCUGCUUUU
rnacentral:lncRNA from 1 species